ACUGCUCAGUAACACGUGGAUAACUGCCCUGCGGUGGGAAAUAACCCCGGGAAACUGGGGAUAAUGUCCCAUAGGCUACGGAUACUGGAAUGUUCUGUAGUCAAAAGAUUUAUCGCCACAGGAUGGGUCUGCGGCCGAUUAGGUAGUUGUUGGGGUAAAGGCCCAACAAGCCUUUGAUCGGUACGGGUUGUGGGAGCAAGAGCCCGGAGAUGGAUUCUGAGACACGAAUCCAGGCCCUACGGGGCGCAGCAGGCGCGAAAACUUUACAAUGCGGGAAACCGUGAUAAGGGAACUCCGAGUGUCCGUAAAUUCGGACUGUCCGUAUGUUUAAAAAGCAUACGAAGAAAGGGCCGGGCAAGACCGGUGCCAGCCGCCGCGGUAAUACCGGCGGCUCGAGUGGUGGCCACUAUUACUGGGCUUAAAGCGUUCGUAGCUUGGUUGUUAAGUCUCUUGGGAAAUCUAUCGGCUUAACCGAUAUGCGUCCAGGGGAUACUGGCAAUCUAGGGACCGGGAGAGGUGAGGGGUACUUCAGGGGUAGGAGUGAAAUCCUGUAAUCCUUGGGGGACCACCUGUGGCGAAGGCGCCUCACCAGAACGGCUCCGACAGUGAGGGACGAAAGCUGGGGGAGCAAACCGGAUUAGAUACCCGGGUAGUCCCAGCCGUAAACGAUGCACGUUAGGUGUAUCGAUGACCACGAGUCAUCGAGGUGCCGAAGGGAAACCGUGAAACGUGCCGCCUGGGAAGUACGGUCGCAAGGCUGAAACUUAAAGGAAUUGGCGGGGGAGCAC
rnacentral:rRNA from 1 species